CUCAGCUUGACAUAUAAAGACAUUUUCAAUCUAUCUGUCAGUUCUGACAUUCCAUCUAUGAUGCACAACACUAUAUCAUUCAUAAUACAUCAUUCAGGAAACAAAGAUUUAAAUAAUCCAAUAGAUGUUUGCCAAAAUUUAGAAAGGAUCCGUGAAACUACUGGAGAAUAUGAAAGGAUUGGUAAAAAUACUAAAAAGGAUGCAAUUACAGGACUUAUUAAUCAUUCAUCGACAAAAGAUAAAA